GGCUCUGUGGUCUAAAGGUUAGGACUCGUUCCUUUCAAGAACGAAAUGCUGUGUUCAAGUCACGCCAGAGUCA
rnacentral:tRNA from 2 species